CAUACUCAGACACUGGCACCCAAUGGCUCAGGAAAGCUAGCAGUGCAGGGCAGUUUGGACAGCGGAACACUUGUGUCAGACUCCAUGAGUAGAGGUUAUUGUGUAAGAACUGAUCCAAGGGGACAGGGAAGUCAGUGUGGGCGGCUCUAAGGAAGCCCCUUCUCUACAGCUGCAGCUCAGAGGAUUAGGCAGCUUCAUCCACAAGGCAACAUUACACAAGUAGCCUUUGAACAAAAGUCAUGGAUACUAUUAAUGAUAUGGUAAUCCUUAAUCGAGCUACCUCCCAGUAGUGAUUAUACUGACAUGGGAAGAAUAUCUAAGUCGUGGAAGCAGCCCACAACAACACUGUGCUAUUGUUCAUCCCAAGCUUGACCAGGACUAACUUUUACCAGCAUCUCUAACGUCACCUUUUUCCCCUAUGAAAAAAAUUGGAAAGAAAACCCUGAUCCUAAAUCUUUUUUGGAUCGCUUUUUGCAAGUUCCCACACACAUUUAGUGUCGUCUCAAAAUUCAUGCUGCCAACUGCCUCAAGGAACCAUUUCCAUCUGAGACCAAGACCACACAAAGUUACUGAUCCAUGAGAGGACUUCCCUCUUAUCCCAUGAUGGCUUACUUUUCAAAGGACAAGCAACCAUCAAGCAGACAAACCAUGAAGACACUUUUAGGAAGAAGUCUGAUUGUGAAAGCAAUGCAGGGUUGUGUUAUCAAAGCAAUAAAUAUAGAGGAAGGAUUAUAGUCAGUCGUGGGGGAUCUAAACAGCAUAGAAGGGAGUGAACAAGCUGGCGUGUGAUCUUGAAUUCAAAGAGUCUCCCUUACUACUGUAACAGAUAUUCAGACAUGUACAUGUUUGCUCACCAAAUAUUUGCAGAGAAUAAAAAUCUUGUGACUACUUGGCAACUAUGUAUUCACUCACAGGUGCAAACCCAGAGUGUCUUGAUAAGCAGAAGAAGGGCUUGAACAAAAUUUCAGUUAUUCAACCAAGGAGCAUGAACGAUACCAGGAGGAGACUAAUCACACACCACCUUUCUAUGUCAAGUGAAGCUCUGCGUUCCCACUCUGCUUUCGAGAUUUCUCUGCUUUGUCCUUCAGUUGUGAUAUAGAAAGAAAAGUUUAAAAAUUAUUUAAUAUAAACAAAAAGAAGACAGGUAAUAUGGUGUGAAAAAUAAUACGACUCUAAUGCACUGAAACUGUAUAGUACUGAAGGAGUCAAAGGAUGGGAAGACAGCUGUAAUUCUCCGUGAUCUAGUUACUGAUAAGCCCUAACAGUGGUGAAACAGCCAUCUUUCUUCAAUCAGUGAUGCCUCCUGUUAGUUAGAGCACAGCCCAAGACUCCUUCAGGUUUUCCAGUAGAGUGAAGAUGAGGAAUCAUAACCAGACAGUUAGGAGGGGAGGUGUCCCAUAAAAGGAUCUCAAGAAGUGGUGUACAGAAUAAAAAAGUUUGAUGACACCUGUUCUAAAGUGCAAGCCAGCAUCAAUCCAAGCUUCUCCACACUGUACCACCAAUGUGCUUUAACCCUGACUUCGAGGGAUCACCCUGAGAUGUAAGAGAACAAUUCCUCCUCCACAGCCAUUCAGUCUCUGCUCAUUGGGGAAUUCAAGGCAGAUCCUUCAGACACCAAGCCACACAUUUGUAUGCAUCUCUGAAACUGAACGCAGAGAGCAUUAGGCUCCCCAUGUCUACCCUUAAGCUAGAAGGCUGGACCCUAUGAUAGAGACUUACAUUAUAGGUACUCUCACUGCAGGUCUGUUUGCUGUAUUUGCUAAUGUAUGUGUUACUUGAUCAACUGUCAGACCUGUUCAUGAUUAUAUUGCCCUUUUGUGAGUGUUGUAUAAAGAGAAUAAAAGCCUUACAUAUAUUUGUAACAAA